rnacentral:rRNA from 1 species
AUGGAGGGGUGGUUCAGCUUGUGUUUCAUUGCACUAGGCACGCCGCUUGCCCUUUGGCUUCUCAAGCUCGCCGGCGCCGGCGGCAAGAACAAGCCACAGAAGCACCAGCUGCCGCCAGGGCCAUGGACACUCCCGAUAAUCGGCAGCCUCCACCACGUCGUUAGCCUCGUCCCACACCGGAAAAUCACGCAGCUGUGUCGCCGAUACGGGCCAAUGAUGCACCUCAAGCUAGGCGAGGUCGAAGCCGUGGUGAUCUCCAGCGCCGAGGCGGUGGCGCAGGUGAUGAAGACCAACGACCUCGCGUUCGCAACCAGGCCGGGCACGCCGACGCAGGACAUCGCCGGCUGUGGCGGCAGGGGCAUCAUCUUCGCCCCCUACUGCGACCACUGGCGCCAGAUGCGCAAGGUCUGCAUUGUGGAGCUGCUCAGCUCCAUGCAGGUCAGGCGCAUGGAGAGCAUCCGGCCAGAGGAGGUUGGCAACCUCCUGGCCGACAUCGCCACUGCUGCGGCGUCCGGCGACAGCAUCAACAUCAGCGAGAAGAUGAUGGAGCUCAACAACGUCGUGUCGCAGGCAGUGUUCGGCGGCAGGUUCACACAGCAGGACGAGUACAUCCGCGAGCUAGAUGUGGUGCUCACCCUGCUAGGCGGCUUCUGCCUCGUCGAUCUCUUCCCGUCGUCACGGUUGGCACGGUGGCUCAGCUUCGCGCGGUGCAUGAAGAGGAGCUACAGCCACAUGCAAUGCAUCAUCGCCAACGUGAUCGAGGAGCGCAAGGCCGCGCGAGCUACUGGUCAUGGCGCCUCAAGCACCCACGACGAGGACCUGCUGGACGUGCUGCUCAGACUACAGAACGAUGAUUCAUUGGCAUUCCCUCUAACCACAGAGAGCAUAUGCGCCGUCUUAUUUGAUAUAUUUUCUGGUGCCACAGAUACCACGGGAACAAUUUUUGAAUGGGCUAUGUCAGAGCUCGUCCGUCAUCCUGAAACAAUGUUUAAGGCUCAACUAGAGAUAAGAAAAGUAUUAGGUCAAGAUUGA